rnacentral:rRNA from 1 species
UUAAACGGCCGCGGUAUCCUAACCGUGCAAAGGUAGCAUAAUCACUUGUCUCCUAAAUAGGGACUAGAAUGAACGGUUAAAUGAGGACUUUACUGUCUCUUACAUCCAACCAAUAAACCUGAUCUUUCAGUCCAAAAGCUGAAAUAAACACAUAAGACGAGAAGACCCUGUGGAGCUUCAAAACCAAGCCCACACCACAUGUUUAUCUUGGUUUUUAGUUGGGGCAACUUUGGAGAACAAACCACCCUCCAAUUACGGAAUCACAAUUUUAGAUGUACAUAUCAAAAUUUUAUCCUGACCCAGCAGUUAUCUAACUAAACUAUCUGAACUAUGAACCAAGUUACCCCAGGGAUAACAGCGCCAUCCUCUUCUAGAGUUCCUAUCGACAAGAGGGUUUACGACCUCGAUGUUGGAUCAGGGCACCCCUAUAGUGCAGCCGCUAUAAAAGGUUCGUUUGUUCAACGAUUAAAGUCCUACGUGAUCU